rnacentral:rRNA from 1 species
GUACCGGGAGAAUAAGCCCCGGCUAACUCCGUGCCAGCAGCCGCGGUAAUACGGAGGGGGCUAGCGUUGUUCGGAAUUACUGGGCGUAAAGCGCGCGUAGGCGGACCUGCAAGUCGGGGGUGAAAGCCCGAGGCUUAACCUCGGAAUUGCCUUCGAUACUGCGGGUCUCGAGUCCGGGAGAGGUGAGUGGAAUUCCUAGUGUAGAGGUGAAAUUCGUAGAUAUUAGGAAGAACACCAGUGGCGAAGGCGGCUCACUGGCCCGGUACUGACGCUGAGGCGCGAAAGCGUGGGGAGCAAACAGGAUUAGAUACCCUGGUAGUCC